rnacentral:rRNA from 1 species
AGGACGAACGCUGGCGGCGUGCUUAACACAUGCAAGUCGAGCGGAAAGGCCCUUCGGGGUACUCGAGCGGCGAACGGGUGAGUAACACGUGAGUAACCUGCCCCUAGCUCUGGGAUAGCUCCGGGAAACCGGGAUUAAAUACCAGAUACGACCACUUUAGACAUCUGUCGUGGUGGAAAGGAUUCCGGCUAGGGAUGGGCUCGCGGCCUAUCAGCUUGUUGGCGGGGUAACGCCUACCAAGGCGACGACGGGUA